rnacentral:sRNA from 1 species
GGACCACUAAUUUGGGAGAACGGUUCUC